rnacentral:tRNA from 1 species
CAUUAAGAAGCUGUAGGUCAGCGAUAGCCUUUUAAGCUGUAGACAGGUGACUCCACCCACCCUUAGUGA